CUUGAACACUUUUGCUGAUGAACUUGACUUCUGCCUUCAAAGCGAUUUUAACGAGAGGAGGUGCGGAAGACCUACUUAAAACCUGAGAGUCUCGAAUAGGAGAGGCGCUUUCAGAUCAGCCCGAGUCUUCUGCAGCGCACAGGAGCUAGUCGUACUGAAAAGAAUGAAGUUGGACUUGUCCAGGCGAGUUUCGGACAGUGCUGGGCUGCCCUGCUCUGAUCUCCUGGGUGUCUUCACCUCCUCUGGUUCCUAAGUCGGCUGCUGCACCAGCACCCAUCAAACUCUCCUGGAAGAGGAAGUGACAGCUCACCGGUAGCCUAGAAGGCCCCUGUGGGCAGAAGCAUGGACUUACUCCUCCUCAUGGAGAUGCGGCUGAGCCAUAUUUCCUUGGCACCUCUCUGGAACCUU
rnacentral:lncRNA from 1 species